AGCGAACGCUGGCGGCAGGCUUAACACAUGCAAGUCGAGCGGGGCCUUCGGGGUCAGCGGCAGACGGGUGAGUAACACGUGGGAACGUACGCUUUGGUUAGGAAUAACGCAGGGGAACUAGCGCAAAUAACGGGUACGCUAUUUUGGGGUAAGGGUUGAUGUCGCAGGAUCGGUCCGGGUCUGAUUAGAUAGUUGGAGGGGUAGUGGCAUAUCAGGGCGACGAGCAGUAGCUGGUCUGAGCGGAUGAUCAGCCACACUGGGACUGAGACACGGCCCAGACUCCUACGUGAGCGAGCAGUGGGGAAUACUGGACAAUGGGCGCAAGCCUGAUCCAGCCAUGCUGCGUGAGUGAUGAAGGCCUAGGGGUUGUAAAGCUCUUUUGUCCGGGACGAUAAUGACGGUACCGGAAGAAUAAGCCCCGGCUAACUGCG
rnacentral:rRNA from 1 species